GCUUCUCCCCCGUCACCUCCAACCCCAUCAUCGUGUCCGGCGGCUGGGACAAGCUCGUGAAGGUCUGGAACCUCACCAACUGCAAGCUCCGCACCAACCUCGUCGGCCACACCGGCUACAUCAACACCGUCACCGUCUCCCCCGACGGCUCCCUCUGCGCCUCCGGCGGUAAGGACGGCGUCGCGAUGCUCUGGGACCUCGCCGAGGGCAAGCGCCUCUACUCCCUCGACGCGGGUGACAUCAUCUACGCACUCUGCUUCUCCCCCAACCGCUACUGGCUGUGCGCGGCGACCCAGUCCUGCGUCAAGAUCUGGGAUCUCGAGUCCAAGUCCAUCGUGGACGAGCUCCACCCC
rnacentral:lncRNA from 1 species